rnacentral:rRNA from 1 species
UCGGUGGUUUCUGCCCAGUGUAAUAUUAACGGCCGCAGUACCUUGACUGUGCUAAGGUAGCAUAAUCAAUUGGCUAUUAAUUGUAGUCUGGAAUGAAAGGGAGAAUGAAUAGAGACUAUAACAAAUAAUUUUAUUUUAAUUUAUUUAUUAGGUGAAAAUACCUAUGUUGAGAAAAAAGACGAGAAGACCCUUAGAGUUUUAAAGAGAGAAAUAUAUUAUUUCUUAUUUUUUGUUGGGGCGACAAGAAAACAUUGAAACUUUUCUAAUAAUUAAAAAUAUAUGACGAAUUUUUUAUGCAUAAAUAAACUACCUUAGGGAUAACAGCAUAAUGAUAAAUAUUAGUUUGUGACCUCGAUGUUGGACUAGGAACUUUAACACU